CAGUCGCCGCGGGAAUACGUAGGGUGCGAGCGUUAAUCGGAAUUACUGGGCGUAAAGCGUGCGCAGGCGGUUAUAUAAGACAGUUGUGAAAUCCCCGGGCUCAACCUGGGAACUGCAUCUGUGACUGUAUAGCUAGAGUACGGUAGAGGGGGAUGGAAUUCCGCGUGUAGCAGUGAAAUGCGCAGAUAUGCGGAGGAACACCGAUGGCGAAGGCAGCCCCCUGGGCCAACACUGACGCUCAUGCACGAAAGCGUGGGGAGCAAACAGGAUUAGAUACCCCCGUAGUCCCUGUCUCUUAUAC
rnacentral:rRNA from 1 species